rnacentral:lncRNA from 1 species
ACCCAUAGUACCCCAUUCCUUGCUGCAAUGUAAUUACAAGUGUGCUCCUGGUGGUCUUUAACUGAAGGGCACUGACUGGGUACUGGUGAAGUUCCCCGCAGGAACUGAGUCAGACCCCAUCUCAGGGCCCUGCAGAAGAUAGGUGCCUGCUCUAAGGCGUGGACCCUCGCGACAGCCCUGGCCCGUCUUGACGGGCGAGGGUUACUGUACUUGUCCCAAUCGUACAGAUGAGAAAGCUCAGACUCAGGGCCAGCAACCCCGGUCCCAGCGGAGCGCCCGGCACGCGCCGACACUUCAGCACCAGUCGCGGUGGCCACCACUGUGCGCGGAGAUGGCUGCGACGCGUGCGCAGAUUAAAUGCUGUUUUCCAUGACCGUCUCUGUUCUUCCCAUACGCGAAUGGCAGGCAUCCAGAUCUCCAAGAAUAGAGGAUUAGGAGAGACUCCACCACCUAUGUCCUCACAGUUAAUUAUCGAUUUGUGUCACUUGCCCAUUUUCUCACUUCCUGUUUGUGUGUCAAGGAGUAUUAAUAAAUCUUUGCCUAUUUAAAGAUACUAGCCUUGGAUUUUCAAAUAUUGCAUAUUUUGACAUGUAAAAAUGUGUUAGUUUUAUUUUUUCAACCGAUCUGACCUGUAUAGUUGGGCUUGAGGAAGCUUCCUCAUUGUACAUGUUACUAUGGAUUUUCUAAUAUUAACACAGGGUUGUAUUUUUUCCAUAUAACUUUCUAUUGAAUUUCUUUUUCCAUAUGAUAGGUGGUGAAGGUUUAGCCCAGUAAAGCAGAGAGGUUAAGAGGUUAGACUGGGGGCUCUGGAGCCAGACCUAUGUAGAUCUGAGUCCUGGCUCUGGCACUUGAAAGCCGUGUGACCUUGGUUAAGAUACUUAGCCCCUCUCUGCCAAAUGGAGAAAUAAGGGCACCUACCCCGUAGGGUAGUUGUGUGAGUACACAAGUUAAUACACUUCAAUCACUAGCAAGAAAGUGAAUGUCAAGCUGUAUUUGUUCAGGCAGCCAUAUGGUAGCCCCACCUCAUUAGUAAACUGAGGUAUUGAAGUAUCUUCUUUUUCUUUCAGAAAAUAUUUGUCAAGCACCUUCUGUGUUCUAAGAACUGUUCUAGAGCUUUGCAUGCUAUGGAGGUCUAGAAAUUCACAUUAUGGUGGCAGGUGACAGACAAUACAAAGAGGUAAAGCAAUUUCAUAUAGUGAUAACCUAGGGAGGCGUGCUAAAAGGAGCCAAGGUGUAGUGGUGACUGGAAGGUGACCAGGGAAACCACUGUAGGGUUUCUAACUGAUGAGAUCUGUGACAAAUCCCUGUGGUCAGCAGCAGGCAUUGGAUAUGUAACUUUAUUCUGUCCCAUUGAUCUUGUAGUCAACCCUGGUCUGUUCUGUAUUGUUUUAAUUACAUAAUCUUUGUAAUAAUCUUUAAUACCUGGUGGAGUGCUCUGUUUACUUAUUUCUGCAUAAUUAACCACCCCUAAGCUUAACUUACUCAUGGUUCUGCAGGAUGACUGCUCUCCAUGGUUCUAGGGGUUUCUGCAUGGGGCCUCUCACAUGUGCUACAGUCAAACAUUAGCCGGGGCCACAGUCAUCUGAAACUCACUUACACGGCUGACAAUUGAUGUUGGCUGUUGCCUGGAGAAGACAUAUGUGGCCUGGUGGAAUGGAAUGGUGACUAGAUUCAAGAAAGAGCUUCCCAGGAGCAAGGCUACCAAGAGACCGAAGUAGAGGCUUCAGUUUCUUUAAAAAAAAAAAAAAAAAUCGGGCCAGGUGCGAUGGCUCACGCAUGUAAUCCCAGCACUUUGGGAGGCCAAGGCAGGCAGAUCACAAGGUCAUGAGAUCGAGACCAUCCUGGCCAACAUAGUGAAACCCGUCUCCAAUAAAAAAAAAAAAUACAAAAAUUAGCUGGGCAUGGUGGUGUGUGACGGUAGUCCCAACUACUUGGGAGGCUGAGACAGGAGAAUUUCUAGAACCUGGGAGGCGGGGGUUGCAGUGAGCUGAGAUUGCACCACUGCACUCAAGACUGGCAAUAGAGGGAGACUCCAUCUCAAAAAAAAAAAAAAAUCCAAUAGUAGAAUUCCCAGAAUGGAAUUUAUGUCAUAUUCUAUGGAUUGAGCAAGUUGCAAGGCAGCCACAUUCUAGGGGAAGGGAGCUAUUCCUCACCUCUUGAGAAGCAAUGUGUGUUGAGGAAGGGAAAGAAUUGAUGGUAGCUGUCUUUGACUUCUACCAUACAGAGCAAGGUCUCCACACUCCUUUCUCCUGUAAUAAUUUUCCAUUUGAAAAUUUUCCUUGCAGUUCUCACACCUUUAUUAUUUCAUAUAAAUUUUACAAUCAAUUUUUUUCUUGUCUAGAUAACCAUGCCAUUUGGAUUAAAAUUGCAUUACAUUGCAACUUUUGAGAAACUAUGGGAGGAGAAUUGGCAACCUUAUAAUAUUGAAUUUGCUCAUUAAGGAACAUAGUUUCUCUGUUUAUUUAGGUGUUAUAUUUUUCAUAAUAUACAUGUUGGUAUUUCUACCCAGGCUUUUCUCUUUGUUUUGUCAUGUAAUGCAUGAAUGAGACUGCACUGUCUGUGUGAUUGGGCAGUUGCCCAAAGUUUAAGGUGUUAACAUGCAUUAAUUCACUUAAUCACUUCUCAUUUCCUCCUUCCCUCAACCCCUGACAACCAUGAAUCUGCUUUCUGUCUCUAGAUUUGCCUAUUCUGGACAUUUUAUAUAAAUGUGUCAUCCAAUAUCUGGUCUUUUCUGACUGGCUUCUUUCACUUAGCAGGAUUCUACGGUUUAUUGAGGUUCAUUCAUUGUGUAGGCUGUAUCAGUACUUCAUUCCUGUUUACGGCUGAAUAAUGUUCCACUGUAUGUACAUAUGUAUGUAUACCACACUUUGUAUAUCCAUUUAUUUACUGGAGGAUAUCUGGGUUAUUUACAGUAUAUUUCAGGAGUCCCCAAGAUCAUCCUCCCCCUUGGUAUACUGCUCUUUGUAUCUUAUAUGACCUGUGCAGAACUAUUUAUCUGGAAAUUAGGUGAUGGUUAACUAAAUAUAGUUCUUCUAAAGAUUCAUUUUCCGUUGGUAUUACAUCCUGAGGAGACCUUAACUCAAUCUCCCAAUACAUUUGAUCAUCAAUAUCACUAUUACCACAUGACUUAUUUACAUGAGGUACUCAAAUCUAACCAGCCAUGCCAGUGUUACCCAUAUUGCAUGUUGUGGUAGUAGAUGCAGCCCCCUGAAAUAAAAGUCAAAAGAUGCUGGCACAUUCCUGAGGUUCUUCUCAGCCACUAACAAUUGGUGUAGUUCAUCAUCACCUGGAAUGACCAAAAUGUCUCCC